UUAUUUUGGGCCACGGUUAUCAGUUUUUGGGCUUUGUGUUUUGCUUCUGAAACCAAGCGCGAGAUGAUUAGGGUUCAUGUUCAUCUUCCUUUCUUUGAAGCUAACAAAGGAGAUUCUAGGUACCAACAAUGGAGUUUCGGGAUUGUUUAAUCAACGUUAGGCAUCGCUAUUUGAAUCUUCAAUCCCGACGUUAGGGUUCAUGUUCUUCUAUUAUUUCUGAAACCAAAAGUGUUGUUCUUCGUUCUCUGAUACCAACAACGGAAAUUCGAGAUACCAACUAUGGAGUUUUGAGCUGUUCAAUUGACGUGAACCAUCUCUGUGUAAAUCUUCAAUUCUGAUGUUUUGCCUUCCGUUCUAAUCAAUCGAAACGGCGGUGUCUCUACUCCUAUAAACGAGAAUUCUGGGAAGCCAAGAACUUCAAACACGGUGGUGAGCUUACGAUGGUGAAUAUAUAUAUGCUCUUACUGGAUUCAAAGGUGAUUAUGUUCUUAAACUCAUGUUCAUAUCAACAUAUAAAAGUAUUCUAGCGUGUAUUCUCAACAUUGUCAAGCUGUUUUACUCAGAUCCUUAUUAAGGUAAGACUCAUGUUCAUAGUUUUCUUAAAAUCAUGUUCAUAGUAUUCCUAAACUUCAUACCUUUAAUUAACGUGAUUCUGUUCUUGAAUAAGUGUUAUUAAAUUCAUGUUCAUAUGACUAUUAAACUAAUGUUCAUAGUGUUCUUAAACUCAUAUCUUAAUAAUUUUGUAAUUUGGUUGAGGUCAUGUUACGCUGGAGCAGGAAUCUGUUCUUUUCUAAUAUUAUGCCCUUCGAAGAGAAAGGUCUUGCUGACGAGUGGGAAAAAGUUGGGAUGUAUCUCUCAGGGUUCAAUAAGCUCGAUGAUAAUCGAUUCUCUAUGGAAAUUUUAUUUGAGAUUAGGACAAAGAAAUGUCAAAAGGUUUAUGAAGAUCUUUACAAAGAGAUGACUCAGCUUCUGACUCGAGAUCAUUUUAGGGAAAAGAGUAAUUGUCAACUAGAGUGAUACAAAAUCAGCCAGAAAUAUAAUGUAAACUCAGUUGAAGAAACUGAUAGAGGAAUAUGCUUUGUUUGAUGAGAAGCUUGCCUUCCCCAGUUUCCAGCCUUCUUGCCUGUGAACUUUGAUCAAUCAAAGGUAAACGUUGUUAACUUGAAGAAAGAAAUGGAGCCAAAGGAGUGGUUUGGAGGAGUUUGGGUCUUGGGUAAAGAUAAGGCAAGAACUUCAGAGAUUGUCUAAGGCUUCAUGAAGGUUUAAAGAAGUCUAAAAGUAUCAUGAAGGCUGUGCAAAGAUAGGGAUUAAGUCCAGGAAGGCUUAUACAUCAUCUGGAGUAAGAUAGGCAAUGGUGCAAAGAUGGGGCGACCCAAGAUCAGAUAGGAUCGACUUAAGGAGAAGUCUGGACGAGAGAUGCAAAGUUAGGGCGAGGUACGGAUGGCCUGUCCGUACCAUCGACCGUACAAAGCAUGUGGCCGUACCAGACUUACCCGGAUCGACCAGAAUUGGAGUUUGGCUCAGUUAGGGCACAAGGAAGCUUAGGGUAUGAUCUUGUGACCGUUGGAGCAGCAAGUGGGGCACGUGAGACAGCUGGUGACAGGCUGGCCGUGACUGGCCAAAAGGUAAAGCACCUUUUGGAGCAGGAUCACACAUGAGACAAUCUUGGCUGUCCAAUUCAAACUGAGCAAAUCCAGCCAUUGAUUCCUUAUCCUAUCUUCUCCACUUUACAGCUUGCACAAGACCACUCUAAGACCAGAUCCUAAUCGUCCAUCUUCAAGUCCUUUAUCAGCCAUUAUAUCUAGGUUAUGUGAUUGCAAAUGUAAACAACAUAUAUAAGCUAAUGUGGGCGUUUUGUAAUGAUCUAAGGGAGUAAGGGGGAUUUCCCCUCUCCACUUCUUGAAUCUGAAACUCUAAUCUCUAAUCUCUUAUUCUCCUAA